GUGAGGAAUAUUGGACAAUGGGCGCAAGCCUGAUCCAGCCAUGCCGCGUGCAGGAAGACGCAUCUAUGGUGUGUAAACUGCUUUUGUACGGGAAGAAACACUCCCUCGUGAGGGAGCUUGACGGUACCGUAAGAAUAAGGAUCGGCUAACUCCGUGCCAGCAGCCGCGGUAAUACGGAGGAUCCAAGCGUUAUCCGGAAUCAUUGGGUUUAAAGGGUCCGUAGGCGGUAUAAUAAGUCAGUGGUGAAAGCCCAUCGCUCAACGAUGGAACUGCCAUUGAUAAUGUUAGACUUGAAUUACAAGGAAGUAACUAGAAUAUGUAGUGUAGCGGUGAAAUGCUUAGAUAUUACAUGGAAUACCAAUUGCGAAGGCAGGUUACUACUUGUGGAUUGACGCUGAUGGACGAAAGCGUGGGGAGCGAACAGGAUUAGAAACCCUGGUAGUCC
rnacentral:rRNA from 1 species